AUUGAACGCUGGCGGCAUGCUUUACACAUGCAAGUCGAACGGCAGCGCGGGCUUCGGCCUGGCGGCGAGUGGCGAACGGGUGAGUAAUACAUCGGAACGUGCCCAGUAGUGGGGGAUAGCUCGGCGAAAGCCGGAUUAAUACCGCAUACGACCUGAGGGUGAAAGCGGGGGAUCUUCGGACCUCGCGCUAUUGGAGCGGCCGAUGGCAGAUUAGCUAGUUGGUGGGGUAAAGGCCUACCAAGGCGACGAUCUGUAGCUGGUCUGAGAGGACGACCAGCCACACUGGGACUAAGACACGGCCCAGACUCCUACGGGAGGCAGCAGUGGGGAAUUUUGGACAAUGGGCGAAAGCCUGAUCCAGCAAUGCCGCGUGUGUGAUGAAGGCCUUCGGGUUGUAAAGCACUUUUGGCGGGAACGAAAAGGACUGUGCCAAUACCACGGUUCGAUGACGGUACCCGCAGAAUAAGCACCGGCUAACUACGUG
rnacentral:rRNA from 1 species